rnacentral:misc_RNA from 1 species
UUCGAGCGUCAUUUCAACCCUCAAGCUAUGCUUGGUCUUGGGCCCUGCCGGCAACGGCUGGCCUUAAAAUCAGUGGCGGUGCGUCGAGCUCUACGCGUAGUAAUCAAACCCUCGCUUUUGAGCUUCGGCGGUCGCUUGCCAGCAACCCCCAAUUUUCUAUGGUUGACCUCGGAUCAGGUAGGGAUACCCGCUGAACUUAA